UACGUAGGGUGCAAGCGUUAAUCGGAAUUACUGGGCGUAAAGCGUGCGCAGGCGGUGAUGUAAGACAGGUGUGAAAUCCCCGGGCUUAACCUGGGAACUGCAUUUGUGACUGCAUCGCUGGAGUGCGGCAGAGGGGGAUGGAAUUCCGCGUGUAGCAGUGAAAUGCGUAGAUAUGCGGAGGAACACCGAUGGCGAAGGCAGCCCCCUGGGCUAACACUGACGCUCAGGCACGAAAGCGUGGGGAGCAAACAGG
rnacentral:rRNA from 1 species